AGCGAACGCUGGCGGCAGGCCUAACACAUGCAAGUCGAACGAACUCUUCGGAGUUAGUGGCGGACGGGUGAGUAACACGUGGGAACGUGCCUUUUGGUUCGGAAUAACUCAGGGAAACUUGUGCUAAUACCGAAUGUGCCCUUCGGGGGAAAGAUUUAUCGCCAUUAGAGCGGCCCGCGUCUGAUUAGCUAGUUGGUGAGGUAACGGCUCACCAAGGCGGCGAUCAGUAGCUGGUCUGAGAGGAUGACCAGCCACACUGGGACUGAGACACGGCCCAGACUCCUACGGGAGGCAGCAGUGGGGAAUCUUGCGCAAUGGGCGAAAGCCUGACGCAGCAUGCCGCGUGAAUGAUGAAGGUCUUAGGAUUGUAAAAUUCUUUCACCGGGGACGAUAAUGACGGUACCCGGAGAAGAAGCCCCGGCUAACUUCGU
rnacentral:rRNA from 1 species